rnacentral:rRNA from 1 species
AGAACGAACGCUGGCGGCGUGGAUAAGACAUGCAAGUCGAGCGCUGAUUUGAGGGUAGCAAUAUUUUCAAGUCGGAGCGGCGCAAGGGUGCGUAACACGUGGGAAUCUGCCUUGAAGUGUGGGAUAACUCGUCGAAAGACGAGCUAAUACCGCAUGUGAUCGUGAGAUCAAAGUUGGGGAUCGCAAGACCUGACGCUUCAAGAUGAGCCCGCGGCCUAUCAGCUAGUUGGCGAGGUAAAAGCUCACCAAGGCUAAGACGGGUAGCUGGUCUGAGAGGACGACCAGCCACACUGGAACUGAGACACGGUCCAGACACCUACGGGUGGCAGCAGUCGAGAAUUUUUCUCAAUGGGCGAAAGCCCGAAGGAGCGACGCCGCGUGGGGGAUGAAUGGCUUCGGCCCGUAAACCCCUGUCAUUUGCGAACAAAUUGACUCACCUAACAUGUGUGUCAUUGAUUGUAGCGGAAGAGGAAGGGACGGCUAACUCUGUGCCAGCAGCCGCGGUAAUACAGAGGUCCCAAGCGUUGUUCGGAUUCACUGGGCGUAAAGGGUGCGUAGGCGGUUGGGUAAGUCUGACGUGAAAUCUCCGGGCCUAACCCGGAAACUGCGUUGGAUACUAUCCGGCUAGAGGAAUGGAGGGGAGACUGGAAUACUUGGUGUAGCAGUGAAAUGCGUAGAUAUCAAGUGGAACACCAGUGGCGAAGGCGAGUCUCUGGACAUUUCCUGACGCUGAGGCACGAAAGCCAGGGGAGCAAACGGGAUUAGAUACCCCGGUAGUCCUGGCCCUAAACGGUGCACGUUUGCUGUAAGCGGAAUCGACCCCGCUUGUGGCGUAGUUAACACGAUAAACGUGCCGCCUGGGAAG